AAUGGGUCAGCGACUUAUAUUCUGUAGCAAGGUUAACCGAAUAGGGGAGCCGAAGGGAAACCGAGUCUUAACUGGGCGUUAAGUUGCAGGGUAUAGACCCGAAACCCGGUGAUCUAGCCAUGGGCAGGUUGAAGGUUGGGUAACACUAACUGGAGGACCGAACCGACUAAUGUUGAAAAAUUAGCGGAUGACUUGUGGCUGGGGGUGAAAGGCCAAUCAAACCGGGAGAUAGCUGGUUCUCCCCGAAAGCUAUUUAGGUAGCGCCUCGUGAAUUCAUCUCCGGGGGUAGAGCACUGUUUCGGCAAGGGGGUCAUCCCGACUUACCAACCCGAUGCAAACUGCGAAUACCGGAGAAUGUUAUCACGGGAGACACACGGCGGGUGCUAACGUCCGUCGUGAAGAGGGAAACAACCCAGACCGCCAGCUAAGGUCCCAAAGUCAUGGUUAAGUGGGAAACGAUGUGGGAAGGCCCAGACAGCCAGGAUGUUGGCUUAGAAGCAGCCAUCAUUUAAAGAAAGCGUAAUAGCUCACUGGUCGAGUCGGCCUGCGCGGAAGAUGUAACGGGGCUAAACCAUGCACCGAAGCUGCGGCAGCGACGCUGAUGCGUUGUUGGGUAGGGGAGCGUUCUGUAAGCCUGUGAAGGUGUGCUGUGAGGCAUGCUGGAGGUAUCAGAAGUGCGAAUGCUGACAUAAGUAACGAUAAAGCGGGUGAAAAGCCCGCUCGCCGGAAGACCAAGGGUUCCUGUCCAACGUUAAUCGGGGCAGGGUGAGUCGACCCCUAAGGCGAGGCCGAAAGGCGUAGUCGAUGGGAAACAGGUUAAUAUUCCUGUACUUGGUGUUACUGCGAAGGGGGGACGGAGAAGGCUAUGUUGGCCGGGCGACGGUUGUCCCGGUUUAAGCGUGUAGGCUGGUUUUCCAGGCAAAUCCGGAAAAUCAAGGCUGAGGCGUGAUGACGAGGCACUACGGUGCUGAAGCAACAAAUGCCCUGCUUCCAGGAAAAGCCUCUAAGCAUCAGGUAACAUCAAAUCGUACCCCAAACCGACACAGGUGGUCAGGUAGAGAAUACCAAGGCGCUUGAGAGAACUCGGGUGAAGGAACUAGGCAAAAUGGUGCCGUAACUUCGGGAGAAGGCACGCUGAUAUGUAGGUGAAGUCCCUCGCGGAUGGAGCUGAAAUCAGUCGAAGAUACCAGCUGGCUGCAACUGUUUAUUAAAAACACAGCACUGUGCAAACACGAAAGUGGACGUAUACGGUGUGACGCCUGCCCGGUGCCGGAAGGUUAAUUGAUGGGGUCAGCGCAAGCGAAGCUCUUGAUCGAAGCCCCGGUAAACGGCGGCCGUAACUAUAACGGUCCUAAGGUAGCGAAAUUCCUUGUCGGGUAAGUUCCGACCUGCACGAAUGGCGUAAUGAUGGCCAGGCUGUCUCCACCCGAGACUCAGUGAAAUUGAACUCGCUGUGAAGAUGCAGUGUACCCGCGGCAAGACGGAAAGACCCCGUGAACCUUUACUAUAGCUUGACACUGAACAUUGAGCCUUGAUGUGUAGGAUAGGUGGGAGGCUUAGAAGUGUGGACGCCAGUCUGCAUGGAGCCGACCUUGAAAUACCACCCUUUAAUGUUUGAUGUUCUAACGUUGACCCGUAAUCCGGGUUGCGGACAGUGUCUGGUGGGUAGUUUGACUGGGGCGGUCUCCUCCUAAAGAGUAACGGAGGAGCACGAAGGUUGGCUAAUCCUGGUCGGACAUCAGGAGGUUAGUGCAAUGGCAUAAGCCAGCUUGACUGCGAGCGUGACGGCGCGAGCAGGUGCGAAAGCAGGUCAUAGUGAUCCGGUGGUUCUGAAUGGAAGGGCCAUCGCUCAACGGAUAAAAGGUACUCCGGGGAUAACAGGCUGAUACCGCCCAAGAGUUCAUAUCGACGGCGGUGUUUGGCACCUCGAUGUCGGCUCAUCACAUCCUGGGGCUGAAGUAGGUCCCAAGGGUAUGGCUGUUCGCCAUUUAAAGUGGUACGCGAGCUGGGUUUAGAACGUCGUGAGACAGUUCGGUCCCUAUCUGCCGUGGGCGCUGGAGAACUGAGGGGGGCUGCUCCUAGUACGAGAGGACCGGAGUGGACGCAUCACUGGUGUUCGGGUUGUCAUGCCAAUGGCACUGCCCGGUAGCUAAAUGCGGAAGAGAUAAGUGCUGAAAGCAUCUAAGCACGAAACUUGCC
rnacentral:rRNA from 1 species